AAAUGCUAUAAGUAAUGUGAAUUGCAGAAUUCAGUGAAUCAUCGAAUCUUUGAACGCACAUUGCGCCCGCCAGUAUUCUGGCGGGCAUGCCUGUUCGAGCGUCAUUUCAACCAUCAAGCCCCCGGCUUGUGUUGGGGACCUGCGGCUGCCCGCAGGCCCUGAAAAACAGUGGCGGGCUCGCUGUCACACCGAGCGUAGUAGCAUACAUUCUCGCUCAGGGCGUGCUGCGGGUUCCGGCCGUUAAACGACCUUCAUAACCCAAGGUUGACCUCGGAUCAGGUAGGAAGACCCGCUGAACUUAAGC
rnacentral:misc_RNA from 1 species